CACAGCUAUUGAACUUAAUUUAUGAGCUUAGAUUGCUGAUCUUGCAUAUGGUUCAGGGAAAUCUGCACCAGUCCAUAUCAUUAUCACCUUCAAUUCUAACUCUCUUACAGUUACAGCAGUUUGGGAAUGUUCAGUGUGAAAAUUAAGUGUUUUACAAAAGCAAAGCUGGUGAGAUUCUGUCUUUACACGUGAUUCUUCACUCUUCAGUCAUUGCUGCCUUUGUUUCUAAUUAUCUCACAUUACAGAAGAAGAAAAAGAAUCCAGAGGCAAGUGGAAAUCUACUGUGCUGAGUGCUGUCCCUGUCCCAAGCAGCAGGAGAAACGGCAUCAAGCUUCUAAAAGGACAUGAAUAGAAGGAGCCACCAGAUGGAUGAAGGAAGGGAAGGAAGCAGUUCAGUCAUGCUGUCACACAUCACUGAAGAAGGAAAAAGGAAAGAGGAUAACCUUGCUAAUAAAAUGGUAUGCAAAAAUUUGCAUGUGUUUCAUCCAUGUAAUUGUAACUCUGAAUUGUAACUGUCUGCAGUCCUUAUGAAAGAUUUAAAAUAUUUGAACUGAGGACCCUAAAAGUGCCCAAUCACCCUACAUAGAAAUCUGUGGUUAGAAGGCAGCAUUGCCAGAGAGCAUUUCAGAGCCUUCAUAACACCUUGCUAUAUGUUUACCAAGAGGACUCAAUGAAGAACUUCAGUAAGCCAAAGACUUGCAAAGGGUACCCUUUGAUGAGAGGCACAUUACAGUUACAUUACACAUUACAGAGUUCUUGCUCUGUGCAGUCAUCAAAAGCUAUUUAAAAUACCAAGACCUAUAGUUCUCCUUUCUCCUACAUUUAGUGUCACCAGCAAAACCCACCCAAAAAAUUAGAAAACAAACCCUCAAAGUACAGAGCUAC
rnacentral:lncRNA from 1 species